rnacentral:rRNA from 1 species
GACGAACGCUGGCGGCGCGCCUCAUACAAGCAAGUCGAGCGAGAACCAGGGCUUGCCCUGGGGAGAGCGGCGAACGGGUGCGUAUCACGUGAGCAACCUGCCCCGAAGACCGGGAUAACUAGAGGAAACUAGGGCCAAUACCGGAUGUCCUCGGUGGACCGCAUGGUCCGGCGAGGAAAGGGAUUCCGCCUCGGGAUGGGCUCGCGGCCUAUCAGCUUGUUGGUGGGGUAACGGCCUACCAAGGCGACGACGGGUAGCUGGUCUGAGAGGACGAUCAGCCACACUGGGACUGGGACACGGCCCAGACUCCUACGGGAGGCAGCAGUAGGGAAUCUUGCGCAAUGGGCGAAAGCCUGACGCAGCGACGCCGCGUGCGGGAUGAAGGCCUUCGGGUCGUAAACCGCUUUCAGCAGGGACGAAAUUGACGGUACCUGCAGAAGAAGGCCCGGCCAACUACGUGCCAGCCGCCGCGGUAA